UACGUAGGCAGCGAGCGUUGUUCGGAAUUACUGGGCGUAAAGAGUGUGUAGGCGGUGCUCCCAGUCUGUUGUGAAAUCUCCGGGCUUAACUGGGAGGGUGCAGCGGAAACUAGAGUGCUAGAGGGUGGGAGAGGUAAGCGGAAUUCCUGGUGUAGCGGUGAAAUGCGUAGAUAUCAGGAGGAACACCUGUGGUGUAGACAGCUUACUGGACCACUUCUGACGCUGAGACACGAAAGCGUGGGUAGCAAACAGG
rnacentral:rRNA from 1 species